rnacentral:rRNA from 1 species
GUGGGGAAUCUUGCGCAAUGGGCGAAAGCCUGACGCAGCCAUGCCGCGUGAAUGAUGAAGGUCUUAGGAUUGUAAAAUUCUUUCACCGGGGACGAUAAUGACGGUACCCGGAGAAGAAGCUCCGGCUAACUUCGUGCCAGCAGCCGCGGUAAUACGAAGGGGGCUAGCGUUGUUCGGAAUCACUGGGCGUAACGCGCACGUAGGCGGACCAUUAAGUCAGGGGUGAAAGCCUGGAGCUCAACUCCAGAACUGCCUUUGAUACUGAUGGUCUCGAGUAUGGAAGCGGUUGGUGGAACUGCGAGUGUAGAGGUGAAAUUCGUAGAUAUUCGCAAGAACACCGGUGGCGAAGGCGGCCAACUGGUCCAUUACUGACGCUGAGGUGCGAAAGCGUGGGGAGCAAACAGGAUUAGAUACCCGAGUAGUCC